rnacentral:rRNA from 1 species
UACGUAGGGUGCAAGCGUUGUCCGGAAUUAUUGGGCGUAAAGAGCUCGUAGGCGGUCUGUCGCGUCGGCUGUGAAAACCCGAGGCUCAACCUCGGGCCUGCAGUCGAUACGGGCAAACUAGAGUACUGCAGGGGAGACUGGAAUUCCUGGUGUAGCGGUGAAAUGCGCAGAUAUCAGGAGGAACACCGGUGGCGAAGGCGGCAUCCUGGACCGAGAUUGACGCUGAUGCGCGAAAGCCAGGGGAGCAAACGGG